rnacentral:sRNA from 1 species
GCUGGGCACAGUGGUGCACGCCUGUAAUCUCAGCAGCUCAGGAGGCUGAGGUAGGAGGAUCACAAGUUCAAACCCAGCCUCAGCCAAAGCAAGGUACUAAGCAACUCAGUGAGACCCUGUCUCUA